AACGAACGCUGGCGGCAUGCCUAACACAUGCAAGUCGAACGAGACCUUCGGGUCUAGUGGCGAACGGGUGCGUAACGCGUGGGAACCUGCCCUUAGGUUCGGAAUAACUCCCCGAAAGGGGUGCUAAUACCGGAUAAUGUUUUCGGACCAAAGAUUUAUCGCCUUUGGAUGGGCCCGCGUUGGAUUAGCUAGUUGGUAGGGUAAAAGCCGACCAAGGCGACGAUCCAUAGCUGGUCUGAGAGGAUGAGCAGCCAAACUGGGACUGGGACACGGCCCAGACUCCUACGGGAGGCAGCAGUGGGGAAUAUUGGGCAAUGGGCGAAAGCCUGAUCCAGCAAUGCCGCGUGAGUGAUGAAGGCCUUAGGGUUGUAAGGCUCUUUUACCCGGGAUGAUAAUGACAGUACCGGGAGAAUAAGCUCCGGCGAACUCCGU
rnacentral:rRNA from 1 species